AUGCCAUAUGGCUCCGAAAGUUUACAAUUCUAAUUUUAAAGAGCAAUCAACUUGUGAUAGCAAUAGCAGGCGCAGUUGUUAACGUGAACGCAAUACGAAUAAUUUCUAAUACAUUACCACAGUUCGGUGAGACAAUACACAUAUUCCAUCAAUAACAUUAACUUGGGUUAGCAUAUGUCAACAUAACUCUCAAAAAGUGUAAAAUUACUGUA